GAUGAAGAACGUAGCGAAAUGUGAUAAGUAGUGUGAAUUGCAGAAUUCAGUGAAUCAUCGAAUCUUUGAACGCACAUUGCGCCCCUUGGUAUUCCAUGGGGCAUGCCUGUUCGAGCGUCAUUUGUACCUUCAAGCUCUGCUUGGUGUUGGGUGUUUGUCUCGCCUCUGCGUGUAGACUCGCCUCAAAACAAUUGGCAGCCGGCGUAUUGAUUUCGGAGCGCAGUACAUCUCGCGCUUUGCACUCAUAACGACGACGUCCAAAAGUACAUUUUUACACUCUUGACCUCGGAUCAGGUAGGGAUACCCGCUGAACUUAAGCAUAUCAAUAAGCGAGGA
rnacentral:misc_RNA from 1 species